GACGAACGCUGGCGACGUGCCUAAUACAUGCAAGUAGAACGCUGAAGGAGGAGCUUGCUUCUCUGGAUGAGUUGCGAACGGGUGAGUAACGCGUAGGUAACCUGCCUGGUAGCGGGGGAUAACUAUUGGAAACGAUAGCUAAUACCGCAUAAGAGUAGAUGUUGCAUGACAUUUGCUUAAAAGGUGCAAUUGCAUCACUACCAGAUGGACCUGCGUUGUAUUAGCUAGUUGGUGGGGUAACGGCUCACCAAGGCGACGAUACAUAGCCGACCUGAGAGGGUGAUCGGCCACACUGGGACUGAGACACGGCCCAGACUCCUACGGGAGGCAGCAGUAGGGAAUCUUCGGCAAUGGACGGAAGUCUGACCGAGCAACGCCGCGUGAGUGAAGAAGGUUUUCGGAUCGUAAAGCUCUGUUGUAAGAGAAGAACGAGUGUGAGAGUGGAAAGUUCACACUGUGACGGUAUCUUACCAGAAAGGGACGGCUAACUACGUG
rnacentral:rRNA from 1 species